GACGAACGCUGGCGGCGUGCUUAACACAUGCAAGUCGAACGGAAAGGCCCUGCUUUUGUGGGGUGCUCGAGUGGCGAACGGGUGAGUAACACGUGAGUAACCUGCCCUUGACUUUGGGAUAACUUCAGGAAACUGGGGCUAAUACCGGAUAGGAGCUCCUGCUGCAUGGUGGGGGUUGGAAAGUUUCGGCGGUUGGGGAUGGACUCGCGGCUUAUCAGCUUGUUGGUGGGGUAGUGGCUUACCAAGGCUUUGACGGGUAGCCGGCCUGAGAGGGUGACCGGCCACAUUGGGACUGAGAUACGGCCCAGACUCCUACGGGAGGCAGCAGUGGGGAAUAUUGCACAAUGGGCGGAAGCUUGAUGCAGCAACGCCGCGUGCGGGAUGACGGCCUUCGGGUUGUAAACCGCUUUCGCCUGUGACGAAGCGUGAGUGACGGUAAUGGGUAAAGAAGCACCGGCUAACUACGUGCCAGCAGCCGCGGUGAUACGUANGGUGCGAGCGUUGUCCGGAUUUAUUGGGCGUAAAGGGCUCGUAGGUGGUUGAUCGCGUCGGAAGUGAAUCUUGGGGCUUAACCCUGAGCGUGCUUUCGAUACGGGUUGACUUGAGGAAGGUAGGGGAGAAUGGAAUUCCUGGUGGAGCGGUGGAAUGCGCAGAUAUCAGGAGGAACACCAGUGGCGAAGGCGGUUCUCUGGGCCUUUCCUGACGCUGAGGAGCGAAAGCGUGGGGAGCGAACAGGCUUAGAUACCCUGGUAGUCCACGCUGUAAACGGUGGGUACUAGGUGUGGGGUCCAUUCCACGGGUUCCGCGCCGUAGCUAACGCUUUAAGUACCCCGCCUGGGGAGUACGGCCGCAAGGCUAAAACUCAAAGGAAUUGACGGGGCCCCGCACAAGCGGCGGAGCAUGCGGAUUAAUUCGAUGCAACGCGUAGAACCUUACCUGGGUUUGACAUGGAUCGGGAGUGCUCAGAGAUGGGUGUGCCUCUUUUGGGGUCGGUUCACAGGUGGUGCAUGGCUGUCGUCAGCUCGUGUCGUGAGAUGUUGGGUUAAGUCCCGCAACGAGCGCAACCCUUGUUCACUGUUGCCAGCACGUUAUGGUGGGGACUCAGUGGAGACCGCCGGGGUCAACUCGGAGGAAGGUGGGGAUGACGUCAAGUCAUCAUGCCCCUUAUGUCCAGGGCUUCACGCAUGCUACAAUGGCUGGUACAGAGAGUGGCGAGCCUGUGAGGGUGAGCGAAUCUCGGAAAGCCGGUCUCAGUUCGGAUUGGGGUCUGCAACUCGACCUCAUGAAGUCGGAGUCGCUAGUAAUCGCAGAUCAGCAACGCUGCGGUGAAUACGUUCCCGGG
rnacentral:rRNA from 1 species